UGACCUCAAAUCAGGUAGGACUACCCGCUGAACUUAAGCAUAUCAAUAAGCGGAGGAAAAGAAACUAACAAGGAUUCCCCUAGUAACUGCGAGUGAAGCGGGAAAAGCUCAAAUUUAAAAUCUGGCGGUCUUUGGUCGUCC
rnacentral:rRNA from 1 species